rnacentral:rRNA from 1 species
UUCCGGUUGAUCCUGCCGGUAGGCCAUUGCUCUUGGGGUCCGAUUUAGCCAUGCUAGUCGCACGGGCUCAGACCCGUGGCAAAUAGCUCAGUAGCACGUGGCCAAUCUACCCUCCGGAAUGGAAUACCCUCGGGAAACUGAGGUUAAUCCCAUAUACGGCUCCCACUCUUGAAUGACGGGAGUCCGAAAUGCUCCGGCGCCGGAGGAUGAGGCUGCGGCCGAUUAGGUUGACGGUGGGGUAACGGCCCACCGUGCCAAUAAUCGGUCUGGGUCAUGAGAGUGAGAACCCAGAGACGGACUCUGAGACAAGAGUCCGGGCCCUACGGGGCGCAGCAGGCGCGAAACCUUUACACUGCACGUCAGUGCGAUAAGGGGACCCCAAGUGCGCAGGCAUAGUGCCUGCGCUUUUCUGGACUGUAGGGCGGUCCAGGAACAAGGGCUGGGCAAGACCGGUGCCAGCCGCCGCGGU